UCUAGUUCCGGCUGAGACUGGAGCUUCUACAUUGUGGGAAGCGGUUCUCUACGUUUCUUUGGCUGGAAGCAGAAUCUCUGGGUGGCCGAGGCCCCUGGACUGGUGGAUGUUCCUGGUGGGCACCCUGAGCCUCAGGCCCUGUGCCCUGGUGACAGCCCCCAACACAAGGACCUCCCGGGGAAGUUGGUGGUACAAGAGCUCUUCUCCAGUGUCCUGCAGGAGAUCUGUGAUGAGGUGAGAGGUGGUUCUGACAGCCUGGUGGGCAUGAA